GUCUGACUAGCUCAGUUGGCAAAGUAUCAGACUUUUAAUCUGAGGGUCUAGAGUUCAAGUCCCUGGUCAGAUG